rnacentral:rRNA from 1 species
CCUACGGGUGGCAGCAGUCGAGAAUCAUUCACAAUGGGGGAAACCCUGAUGGUGCGACGCCGCGUGGGGGAAUGAAGGUCUUCGGAUUGUAAACUCCUGUCAUGUGGGAGCAAAUUAAAAAGAUAGUACCACAAGAGGAAGAGACGGCUAACUCUGGGCCAGCAGCCGCGGUAAUACAGAGGUCUCAAGCGUUGUUCGGAAUCACUGGGCGUAAGGCGUGCGUAGGCUGUUUCGUAAGUCGUGUGUGAAAGGCGCGGGCUCAACCCGCGGACGGCACAUGAUACUGCGAGACUAGAGUAAUGGAGGGGGGACCGGAAUUCUCGGUGUAGCAGUGAAAUGCGUAGAUAUCGAGAGGAACACUCGUGGCGAAGGCGGGUUCCUGGACAUUAACUGACGCUGAGGCACGAAGGCCAGGGGAGCGAAAGGGAUUAGAUACCCUUGUAGUC